UAGGGAAUUUUCGUCAAUGGGCGCAAGCCUGAACGAGCGAUGCCGCGUGAGUGAAGAAGGCCUUCGGUCGUAAAGCUCUGUUGCGGGGGAAAAAAGGCAGCAUCAGGAAAUGGGUGCUGACUGAUGGUGCCCCGCCAG
rnacentral:rRNA from 1 species